GGCAGGGCUGAUACAAAGUCAGGAAAUUGGCUGCAGUGGAAGUGGUCUGCUGUCACCCCCUGAGAGGAGGGAACUGUGUUUGGGGCUAUGGUACAUCCUGCAAGCCAGCCAGGAGUCUCCAAAGCUCCAGAGCUUCUACAGGGCACAGGAAGGGGACCUUCACUGGACAGGUUCUCAGACCUUCCUGCUAGGUUUCACUUGGGAGGCCCAGGACCCCCUAUUUUGCAAAUCCUAACAGGACCUUGAUGGAUGCUGAUGUCUCUGCCUUUCAUAUCAUUUUACCAGUGGAACCUUUGAUCUGUCAGCAGUCUUUAUAUCAAGUUAGUUGUCCCAUAAAAUGGAGAAUAUGACAAAAAUAUCUGUUGUGCUAAUGUAAAGUACUCCCACAAUAAAAAUGCUGCAUUAAGGAGCUCGCUUUAGCCAUAUGUGCUGUAAUAGUAGAACUGGGAAGGAAGAAAUUUUUUUUUAUAAGACUCUGGUAAAGGAACUUCUAAAGCAACAAGUACUGUACAUUAUGAUUCAGAACAGCAAGGGACAGCUGGAAAGAGCUGAUUGGCUACAGCCCAAUGAAACAGAGGCUUCCUGUGACCAGCUGCUGUGCUGCAGCAUGAAUGACAAGGGUAAUAAUUGAUUAGUAACUGGCAGCUCAAAAGGAAGAAAGAAUGAACAAGAACGAUGAGGUGCUUUACAGCUUGGUAACUGUAAAACCAGUAGAACAA